rnacentral:lncRNA from 1 species
GCGGCCCCAGCACGAACUCCACUCUACCUUAGUCAUUUCACAUUUAUAUAGAAUUUGCGCCACACUUGUGCGUAUUUAGUGCUUGGCGCAACUCCUUUAGUACUUAGAAUCCAUGGACACUAAGAUGGAGUUGGCGCCUUCAUUGUUGUAAUUUGAUAAAAAUAAUAAUAAGGAUAUAGAGACAGUAGGUUUAUGUGUAUAAACGGAGAAGAUACAUAAAGACUACAUUGUAUUCUCUUCUGAUAAACUAAACAAGAUACAUGCAGUUUAAAUAGAACCACAGGCAAGAGGUGGGUAACACAAAAUAGUAACUAACCUAGAAAGUAGCGUACUGGACUCCUAAAAUACUUCAACUGCCCAUGACUCUCCUAUAAUAUCUCUUCUACUGCUACUUAUACACACGUAACUGCUGAUAUAAUUUAUUUAAAACAACUAAACAAAUAAAACACCUCAUAACAAUAAUUGACAAAAGUUUAGAUUAACUAAAUAAUCCCAACAAUCUCCCCCUUAAUCUAAACUUAGUGCCUGGCAAAUUCUUCGCAUCUGGCAUGAUCUUUGGUGCCCAUCUGGCAAGACCUUCGUAGCCGAUAAGACUUUCUUUAUUGGCCUGUGUGGCCUUUUAAACUGAGCCCGUAUGGCUAUUCUUCACAAGCCCGUAUGGCUAUCCUUCUGAGCCCGUAUGGCUAUUCUUCACAAGCCCGUAUGGCUAUCCUUCUGAGCCCGUAUGGCUAUUCUUCACAAGCCCGUAUGGCUAUUACACUGAGCCCGUAUGGCUAUCCUUCUGAGCCCAUAUGGCUAUUACUUCUUUGACUGUAUCGCACUUUAAAUUUGCCCGUCUGGCACGCCCAUCUGACACUUAGACUAAAGAAUGAACUCCAUAUGCAUCCCAUACUGCACAUGAUGAUCUCUCCUGCAUUUCAUGGAACAGUUGGCGCACUCUAUCAAAACCAACCUUUUGUCCUCACUCUUUCUUCACCGGCUCCCUCACUCCAACUGCUCUUAAGUACCUCCAAAGAAUGGUAGGGAAGGCUGUUAAGCCUUGAUACUCCCCCCAAGCUCUGAUACCAUGUUGUAAUUUGAUAAAAAUAAUAAUAAGGAUAUAGAGACAGUAGUUUUAUGUGUAUAAACGGAGAAGAUACAUAAAGACUACAUUGUAUU